UACGUAGGGUGCAGGCGUUAAUCGGAAUUACUGGGCGUAAAGCGUGCGCAGGCGGUUUGCUAAGACAGGUGUGAAAUCCCCGGGCUUAACCUGGAAACUGCGCUUGUAACUGGCAAGCUAGAGUGUGGCAGAGGGGGGUGGAAUUCCAGGUGUAGCAGUGAAAUGCGUAGAGAUCUGGAGGAACACCGAUGGCGAAGGCAGCCCCCUGGGCUAACACUGACGCUCAUGCACGAAAGCGUGGGGAGCAAACAGG
rnacentral:rRNA from 1 species